AUUGAACGCUGGCGGCAGGCCUAACACAUGCAAGUCGAACGAGUGGCGGACGGGUGAGUAAUGUCUGGGAAACUGCCCGAUGGAGGGGGAUAACUACUGGAAACGGUAGCUAAUACCGCAUACCAUCGGAUGUGCCCAGAUGUGAUUAGCUAGUGGGAGGGGUAAAGGCUCACCUAGGCGACGAUCCAUAGCAGGUUUGAGAGGACGACCAGCCCCACUGUGCCUGAGACACGGCCCAGACUCCUACGGGAGGCAGCGGUGGGGAAUUUUGGACAAUGGGGGAAACCCUGAUCCAGCCAUCCCGCGUGUUCGAUGAAGGCCUUCGGUUGGUAAAGCACGUUUGGCAGGAAAGCGGUACCUGCAGAAUAAGCACCGGCUAACUACGUGCCAGCAGCCGCGGUAAUAC
rnacentral:rRNA from 1 species